rnacentral:rRNA from 1 species
CCUACGGGCGGCAGCAGUGAGGAAUAUUGGUCAAUGGACGAGAGUCUGAACCAGCCAAGCAGCGUGAAGGAUGACUGCCCUAUGGGUUGUAAACUUCUUUUAUAUGGGAAUAAAAUGUUCCACGUGUGGGAUUUUGUAUGUACCAUAUGAAUAAGGAUCGGCUAACUCCGUGCCAGCAGCCGCGGUAAUACGGAGGAUCCGAGCGUUAUCCGGAUUUAUUGGGUUUAAAGGGAGCGUAGGUGGAUUGUUAAGUCAGUGGUGAAAGUUUGCGGCUCAACCGUAAAAUUGCAGUUGAUACUGGCAGUCUUGAGUACAGUAGAGGUGGGCGGAAUUCGUGGUGUAGCGGUGAAAUGCUUAGAUAUCACGAAGAACUCCGAUUGCGAAGGCAGUUCACUGGACUGCAACUGACACUGAGGCUCGAAAGUGUGGGUAUCAAACAGGAUUAGAUACCCGUGUAGUC